rnacentral:rRNA from 1 species
AUGCAGCAGCAGCAGCCGGCCCUCCUCAGCUUCGGAGGAGGCGGCGAGUGCCGCCACGACGAGGACGACGAGGAAUACGCGACGCUGGAAGCGCUCGUGAUGCAGCAGGGGCAGUCCGCCUCGGUAGGAGCGCCUCACUUCGACGGCGCAGACUUUGAAAUGUGGCAGGUUGGGAUGAGAGACCACCUGCUUUUCUUUCACCCUCGCGUGUGGAGCAUUGUGGAAACCGGCUUCUCUUGUGUGGACGAAGCAAACCCGACGGAUCUUGAAUCGAGGAAUGUCCACUACAAUGCCCAAGCCAUGGACGCCAUACACUGCGCCCUGAGCGACCAUCAGCUCUACCGGAUCUGGCACCUCGAUACCACUAAGGAGGUCUGGGAUGCCCUCCAGGUUAUGCACGAAGACACCCCAAUCGUCCGCGAGCUGAAGGUCAAGCAGCUGAGGGAGAAGAUGAAGUUGUUUGCGUGGAGGAAGGGCGAGUCCGCCGAUGGCAUGUGCGCAAGGCUCGAGAAUUUGGUCUUUGAGAUGAAGCAGCUUGGAUGCGAAGAGGUGACCGAUUCUUAUGGUGUGAGGGAGAUGCUUCGUGCCAUGGCACCAAGGAAGUCAUCCUUUGUGACCCUCAUUCGUGAAGGGCGUAAGUUAGAACACACCCCUCGAGAUGUGCUCCAAGUCUACAAUAUGAUGCAAGAACAAUCCAGAAUCGUGCGCGGGUACGCAAGGGCGAAGGUGGACAGUGUCACCCGAACCGAGCCCGACUACGAUGAAGAUUGCUUCAGAGAAGCGCCUUGCUUCGAUGGCACGCACUAUCUAUCAUGGCAGCGUAGGAUGAAAUUCCAUCUGCUUAGCAUUGACCCUCUUGUGUGGAGAAUUGUGGAAACUGGCUUGUCUUGUGUGGAUGAAGCAAAUCCAACGGCUCUUGAAAAGAGGAAUUGGCAGCACGAUUACCGAGCUAGACGUGCCUUACAGCAUGCCAUAGGUGAUGAUCAAUAUAUUCGGAUUUGCCGAUAUCAAUAUAAGAGUGCUAAGGAGAUUUGGGAUGCUCUCCAAAAAUUUAAUGAAGCAGUUGGUAAGUCAAAGCUCAGUUCACUGAGCAUGGAUAUGAACUUCUUCGUCUUAGGAGAAGAUGAGUCCCCCAAUGACAUGUAUACACGGCUCAACAAUUUGGCUAAUGAGAUGAAGGGUCUUGGGUGCAAAGAGAUGACUGAUUCCUAUCUUGUGAGGAAGAUGCUUUCUGCCAUGGCACCAAGGAACUUAAACCUGGUUUUUUUCCUCAAGCAUGUGAAGCCUAACUUUGAACUACUAACCCCCCAGGAUGUGCUUGCAACAUUCCUCCUCUACGACAUGGAGCAAAAAGAAUCCAAAAUCAUGAGUGGGCAUGCUUUGCCACACUCAAGCAAGAAGGUCAAUGCUGCCUUGAAGGCCAAGCAAGUCCAAGUGGACAAAUCAAGCGAUGAUGAAAACGAUCAUGAUCAAGAUCAAGAGGAAAUGCAACAAGGAAUGCAAGAAUUGACUCUCUUCAUGAAGAAGUAUAAAGGGUUUCUUGGAACGAAAGGCUAUGAAGAAAGAAAUAAUUUCUCUGACAAGUCCAAGAUGAGGAAACCAAAGAGAUAUUGCUAUCAAUGUGGAGAUUCCAAUCAUUUCAGUGCUGAUUGUUCUAAGGAGGACAAGAAAGAAGAGAAUGAGGAAAGCAAAUACAAGAGGAAACCAUUCGACAACAAGGGCAAGCCACACAAGCCAGAGGGGGAGAAAGGUGCGGAGGCACAUCCUCACGUAAACACGGGAGUGGAAAGUGCCGUUCAAAGAUGCGGAGGCGGUGGACUUAGACCGCUUGGGAGGCCGGUUGAUGAAGUACCUGAGAACUCCGCUUCAAAGCUGCCAAGGAAACCUGCCGCCCAAUCGGCACAGCAACACUACUGCCUCAGUGGGCGUCUGGUGGAGGAGUGA